rnacentral:rRNA from 1 species
UACGAAGGGGGCUAGCGUUGUUCGGAAUCACUGGGCGUAAAGGGCGCGUAGGCGGCUGUUCAAGUCGGGGGUGAAAGCCUGGGGCUCAACCACAGAAUUGCCUUCGAUACUGGACGGCUGGAGACCGGAAGAGGUGAGUGGAACUGCGAGUGUAGAGGUGAAAUUCGUAGAUAUUCGCAAGAACACCAGUGGCGAAGGCGGCUGACUGGUCCGGUUCUGACGCUGAGGCGCGAAAGCGUGGGGAGCAAACAGG